rfam:Caenorhabditis elegans chromosome X
AGGAAAAAGUUAGGCAAGACUUUGGCAAAACUUGGAUUCAGGCUUUGCCGAAGUUUAGCCAAAGUUUAAUCUAACUCUUGCCA